rnacentral:rRNA from 1 species
AGCAUAUCAAUAAGCGGAGGAAAAGAAACUAACAAGGAUUCCCCUAGUAACGGCGAGUGAAGCGGGAAGAGCUCAAAUUUAAAAUCUGGCGGUGUAUUCCGUCCGAGUUGUAGUCUAGAGAAGCAUCAUCCGUGCUGGACCAUGUACAAGUCUCUUGGAACAGAGCGUCAUAGAGGGUGAGAAUCCCGUCCUUGACAUGGACUGCCAGUACUUUGUGUUGUGCUCUCAACGAGUCGAGUUGUUUGGGAAUGCAGCUCAAAAUGGGUGGUAAAUUCCAUCUAAAGCUAAAUAUUGGCGAGAGACCGAUAGCGAACAAGUACCGUGAGGGAAAGAUGAAAAGCACUUUGGAGAGAGAGUUAAACAGUACGUGAAAUUGUUGAAAUGGAAACGCUUGAAGUCAGUCGUUCUCUGGGAUUCAGCCUUGCUUCUGCUUGGUGCAUUUCCUAGUCUACGGGCCAGCAUGAAUUUUGACCAAUGGAAAAAGCUGGGGGAAUGUGGCACCUUCGGGUGUGUUAUAGCCCCUUGUCAUACACGUUGGUUGGGAUUGAGGUCUUAGUGCACGCUCCGGUUGUGCUUUGAUGCUGGCGUAAUGGCUUUAAACGACCCGUCUUGAAACACGGACCAAGGAGUCUAACAUGUCUGCAAGUGUUUGGGUGCAAAACCCGAGCGCGUAAUGAAAGUGAUAGUUGGGAACCUCUUGAGGGGCACCGACGCCCGGACCAGACCUUCUGUGACGGAUCCGAGGUAGAGCAUAUAUGUUGGGACCCGAAAGAUGGUGAACUAUGCCUGCAUAGGGUGAAGCCAGAGGAAACUCUGGUGGAGGCUCGUAGCGAUUCUGACGUGCAAAUCGAUCGUCAAAUGUGGGUAUAGGGGCGAAAGACUAAUCGAACCAU